CCUACGGGAGGCAGCAGUAGGGAAUAUUGCUCAAUGGGGGAAACCCUGAAGCAGCAACGCCGCGUGGAGGAUGAAGGUUUUCGGAUUGUAAACUCCUUUUGUUAGAGAAGAUAAUGACGGUAUCUAACGAAUAAGCACCGGCUAACUCCGUGCCAGCAGCCGCGGUAAUACGGAGGGUGCAAGCGUUACUCGGAAUCACUGGGCGUAAAGAGCGCGUAGGCGGGAUAGAAAGUCAGAUGUGAAAUCCUAUGGCUUAACCAUAGAACUGCAUUUGAAACUGGUAUUCUAGAGUAUGGGAGGGGUAGGUGGAAUUCUUGGUGUAGGGGUAAAAUCCGUAGAGAUCAAGAGGAAUACUCAUUGCGAAGGCGACCUGCUAGAACAUAACUGACGCUGAUGCGCGAAAGCGUGGGUAGCAAACAGGAUUAGAUACCCCGGUAGUC
rnacentral:rRNA from 1 species